rnacentral:rRNA from 1 species
GAAGACGGGUGAGUAACACGUGGGAACGUACCCCUUUGUUCGGAAUACCCUGGGAAACUAGGGCUAAUACCGGAUACGGCCGAGAGGCGAAAGGUUUACUGCAGAGGGAUCGGCCCGCGUCCGAUUAGCUAGUUGGUGUGGUAAUGGCGCACCAAGGCGACGAUCGGUAGCUGGUCUGAGAGGAUGGCCAGCCACAUUGGGACUGAGACACGGCCCAAACUCCUACGGGAGGCAGCAGUGGGGAAUAUUGGACAAUGGGCGCAAGCCUGAUCCAGCCAUGCCGCGUGAGUGAUGACGGCCUUAGGGUUGUAAAGCUCUUUUACCUGGGAAGAUAAUGACGGUACCAGGAGAAUAAGCCCCGGCUAACUUCGUGCCAGCAGCCGCGGUAAU